GACGAACGCUGGCGGCGUGCUUUAGGCAUGCAAGUCGAACGCGAAAGCCCCUUCGGGGGUGAGUAGAGUGGCGAACGGGUGAGUAACACGUGGGUAACCUGCCCCUCGCAGGGGGAUAACCGGGGGAAACCCCGGCUAAUACCCCGUACGCUUGCUGGGGCGCAUGCUCCGGCAAGGAAAGGUAGCUUCGGCCAUCCGGCGAGGGAGGGGCCCGCGGCCCAUUAGCUAGUUGGUGGGGUAACGGCCCACCAAGGCGACGAUGGGUAGCUGGCCUGAGAGGGUGGUCAGCCACACUGGGACUGAGACACGGCCCAGACUCCUACGGGAGGCAGCAGCCAGGAAUCUUGCGCAAUGGGCGAAAGCCUGACGCAGCAACGCCGCGUGGGCGAUGAAGGCCUUCGGGUCGUAAAGCCCUGUUGUCGGGGACGAAGGGCGAAGGGUUAAUAGCCCCUAGCCUGACGGUACCCGACGAGGAAGCCCCGGCUAACUACGUGC
rnacentral:rRNA from 1 species